UGUGUUCUAACCAUAACUAACUGUAACCCAUAGGUGAGUGUGUUCUAACUGUAACCCAUAGGUGAGUGUGUUCUAACUGUAACCCAUAGGUGAGUGUGUUCUAACCAUAACUAACUGUAACCCAUAGGUGAGUGUGUUCUAACUGUAACCCAUAGGUGAGUGUGUUCUAACUGUAACCCAUAGGUGAGUGUGUUCUAACUGUAACCCAUAGGUGAGUGUGUUCUAAAUGUAACCCAUAGCUGAGUGUGUUCUAACUGUAACCCAUAGGUGGCUUUGUUCUAUCCAGCCUAUUCACAGAUCUGUCAGUGUUAAUGAAAGAAAGGAGACGAGAG
ensembl:lncRNA